rnacentral:ncRNA from 1 species
GACAAAAUAAAAAAGAAUUCUUGGCUAAUUGAUCACGACUAUGAAGGAAAAAUAGUAAUGUGCCAAAUGGGCAGGCAAGAGACAACCUAGAGAACUGAAACAUCUUAGUAGCCAGAGGAAAAGAAAGCAAAAGCGAUUUCCGUAGUAGCGGCGAGCGAAACGGGAGCAGUCUAAACCGUGAAAACGGGGUUGUGGGAGAGCAAUACAAGCGUCGUGCUGCUAGGCGAAGCAACCUGAAUGUUGCACCCUAGAUGACGAAAGUCCAGUAGCCGAAAGCAUCACUAGCUUACGCUCUGACCCGAGUAGCAUAGGGCACGUGGAAUCCCGUGUGAAUCAGCAAGGACCACCUUGCAAAGCUAAAUACUCCUGGGUGACUGAUAGCGAAGUAGUACUGUGUGGGAAGGGUGAAAAGAACCCCCAUCGGGGAGUGAAAUAGAACAUGAAACCGUAAGCUCCCAAGCAGUGGGAGGAGCCAGGGCUCUGACCGCGUGCCUGUUGAAGAAUGAGCCGGCGACUCAACCCGGGGUGAUCUAUCCAUGACCAAGAUGAAGCGUGGGUGAAACUAAGUGGAGGUUCGAACCGACUGAUGUUGAAGAAUCAGCGGAUGAGUUGUGGUUAGGGGUGAAAUGCCACUCAAACCCAGAGCUAGUUGGUUCUCCCCGAAAUGCGUUGAGGCGCAGCAGUUGACUGGACAUCUAGGGGUAAAGCACUGUUUCGGUGCGAGCCGCGAUAGCGGUACCAAAUCGAGGCAAACUCUGAAUACUAGGUAUGGCCUUAAAAUUAAAAAAGAGGGGUCAAAGUCGGCUAGUGAGACGAUGGGGGAUAAGCUUCAUCGUCGAGAGGGAAACAACCCGGAUCACCAGCUAAGGCCCCUAAAUGGCCGCUCAGUGAUAGAGGACGUAGGGGUGCGGAGACAGCCAGGAGGUUUGCCAAGAAGCAGCCACCUUUGAAAGAGUGCGUAAUAGCUCACUGAUCGAGCGCUCUUGCGCCAAAGAUGAACGGGGCUAAGUGAUCUGCCGAAGCUAUGGGGUAUAUUAGGUUUGCAGUUUAGUAUUUGUAUCUAUUUAGAUGAUUUAUCAACAUGUAUAUAAUGUUUGAAUUAAAAUUAUUUAUUUGGUUUGAUCAAGCCGUAACUUCUAUAUGUGCAUGCGCCCCGCAAUCCGCUUACAUUGGGCGCAUGCAAUAUAUAACUUAGGCUUUAGGAAGAUGAUAAAAGUACUAAAUUAGCAGCAAAUAUUGUCAA